UCAAUUGGACCGGAUCUAUCUUCUUCAUCUUCACCAUGGUAUCUUUACGGCUGAGUUUGUGACGGAGGAGAAACCAGAAUCCGAUUACUGCGAUUUACAUUUCUCCCGAUGGCUUCCACUCUAAUCUCCUCAUCCCUCUCUUCCUCUUUCUUCCCAACCCAAAAUCUCCGCCGCAUUCGAAUCCCGGCGAUUUCAAUUCCCAGAGGUUGCAGUAUUCGCACACGCCGUUCAAAAAUUGUCUCCAAAUCACUCGAUCUUCCACUUCUCCCUUUCAGCAUGAGCGAGGUUCUUGUACCAACGGAGAGUAAAACUUUGCAUUUGUAUGAAGCAAGGUACUUAGCUCUACUUGAAGAGUCAAUGAAAAGGAAGAAGAAUAUGUUUGUUCAUUUCAUCCUGGAUCCUAUUUCAAUUAGUGAGACUGCAACAGAAGCUUCCUUUGCUGCUCGAUACGGCUGCUUGGUACUUAUUGAAAACGUUGAGAGAUUAGACGUUGGUGCACUUGUUUCUAUUAGAGGCGCUGGCCGUGUGAAGAUUUCGCGGUUUUUAGGGGCAGAUCCUUUCUUGUCCGGAGAGGUCAGACCAAUACAAGAUCGUGUGAAUCAUGAGAGCAGAGAUGAAUUAACCUCAAAAGUCUCCCAGCUGAAGGAAACUAUUAUGAAUCUUAAUAGCUUGGAGAUCAAACUUAAGGUGAAAAACCUAGCCAAAAAAAAUAUCUCUCCUUCAUUGUGUUAUACAUGGAUACAACUGUAUCUGUUGUAUCUCUCAUCUUCUCCCCUUGGAUUGUUCAUAGCAAUUAGGCUCCAGCAGACUCACCGCUACAAACUCGUCUCAUCAACUCUCUAAACUGGGCUGAAGAUGAGCCGCCUGUUGAGUGUGACGAAUCAUUCUUACCUUCUCUCCAAGAGCGUCUAUCUUUUUCUGCAUUUCAACCCAUUUCUGGAUCGUCAAAGUCGGAACUAUCAAGGUUACAACAAGAGAAAUUAAAAGCAAUGGAUAUGAAAGAUACAGUAGAGAGGUUAGAACUCUCAAUGACACUCAUAAAAGAGAACAUUUCCUCAGUUGCGGCCAAACUCGCCAUCCAAUCCUUGGAUAUUCGCUAAUAGAUAGACCAUACAAUAAGUCUCUCGUUGUAAAUGUGUGUUAUUCGUAAAACUUAGUGAAUAUUAUAUUACAGCCAAGAAAGUGUAUAUCUUGUUCGAAACUGUGAUUCAUAGGUGUAGAGAAGCAAUAAGACUAGAGCAAACAUUCACUCUU